CACACCGCCCGUCACACCACGAAAGUCGAAGAUACCAGAAGCCGGUGCGCUAACCGCAAGGAUGUAGCCGUCCAAGGUAUAUUUGAUGAUUGGGGUG
rnacentral:rRNA from 1 species